AGGUUCCAGUGAGUGGAGGCAAGUUCUUAUAAUAUUUGAAUUGUUGCCCCCUUCGAUGCGAGGAAGCAGCACAGCGUUCACUCCACAGACUCAUCCAGGAUUCAUGAUUGAGAUCCUCUUCGAUUUCCUGUCUGGGCGGCUGCAAUCACUCUCGCCUUGUCCUUGGUCCACAACCUUGGCGGACAACACCCCCUACCGAUCCAUCGUCAUGGAGAUGACCCCACAUCUAUCACCAUGGAGACAACCUUUGCAUGCAGAGAAGGUGUGCAGGACGUCGAUGGAUGCGAUGGAUUCACGUUGGAGCCCAAGGUGGUGCAGGAGGACGUAGCCGGGAGAGGCGUGGGCCGCGUGUCACGUCAGGACACAAAGGUGACGGGGCAAAUAUGCAGAGCGCACGAGGGUCGAUGCAUGUGUGUUCGAGGAAGCAAAGAGGGAGAAUGAGAGGGAAAAAAGGGAAAGCGAGGUGUGAUAUCGUCAAUUAAAUAACCCUCCCACACAGCAUCUGGUGCUCUCUCUCUCUCUCUCUCUCUCUCCGUUAUUCUGCUCCUCUUUCUGUCGUCUUCCCUUUUUGUUUCCCAGAUUGAACAUGCUAGUUAGCCCGUGGCUUCACCCUGUCUGCCUCUCCCUGAGGGAUACCAUCUCUCACACACACACAUACACAGGUAUAGCUUGAUUGCAGCAGCUGAUGUUGGGGGGGAGGGAGUCAAAUUUACCAAGUGGAAGACUGUUGAGAGGAGAAACCCACUGACCACACAUUAAGUAGGCAAAUGCGCACUCUUUCAUUAGGCUGAUCAUGAAUUGUUAACUCCUUGUGCUGCUUUUGCUGCCUUGCACCCUGAAGUGUUUGAGACAUCGCCCUCUAAUCUGUCCUCUCUGUCCUCUCUGUCCUCCUCCUCAGUCCGUCCCGUCGCAGAUGGAGUGAAGGGGAUGAUGAAAGCUUUUGUUUUAACAGGCGGAAUCUAAUUAUAAGUUGCGAACUGAGCUGGCUAGGAAAAUUAAUUUGCAUUUUAACUUUUGGGGUUUUAAUGUUGAAUUCCAAGAUGGGAGAGAAGGAGGGGAAACGAGGACGGUAACGAGAAGUGGGGGGGGGGGUCAAUGGUGUGAACGGAUCGAAUCGCUGGGUGGAUCUGUCAUAAUGUGAUGACACGAAAGAAUAUUUUGUAACAAAUUAGG